UACAGUAGAGAGGAGGAAUCGGCGGCAACUCCGUUCUUCAGGUUCUUCCACUGCCGCCGCCUCCGGGCUUUCCCCUCACCUUCGGCUGCCCUCUGGGCAGCUGGAGGUUGGGGGAACAUCGGAUCCAGGUGGCGCGUGUAUAUAGGUGUGGGGCUUCGUCCCCUGUUUGGGUCUUCGGCGCCGGAGUCUUGACGGAGCGGACGACGGCAAGUUCUUAAAUAAAGGGAGAAGGGUGGCUUGGUCUGUGGUCGAUUGUGGCUGGUUGGAGAGGGAUCCGGUCAUCUCUUACGAGGUGAGUUGGCGUCGUCCCCGGAUCUGAAGCAGGAGCGGCUCGGGGAGCAUCCUCAACAAGGGGAUCGCCUCCGACCGAUAUACUUUUGGGAUUUAGAUCCAGUUUCUUUUGAACUGGUAGCUGUUGCGGUUCGUCAACGCCAAUUUGGCAAGGGGUUACUCCUGCUCCAGGCUUGUGGCAGGACCGACGUCUUCUCCGGUGCCGGCUGUUCGUCGACGGCGGAGAAGUGGGCGCCGUGCGUUCACAACGUAGAUGGAAGUCUCUUGAGUCUCCUUUGCAAUACUCUUUGUGCGUGGGGUUUCCAUGUCUUUCGGCUACGGCUGGUGCUGCCUGUAUCCUUUGUAUCAUUGUGUAUUUGUACGUGUAUUAGUAUGUUCUGUAAUGUUUUCCUACUCGUAUGAAUACAAGUGACGUAUGCCUUUGGGUGUACGGUUUUAAAAAAAAUAUGCAUAUGUUACUAGUCUA